rnacentral:lncRNA from 1 species
GACAGAGACAGGGACAGAGAGAGAGAGAGAAAGAGAGAAAAGCACAGGGUCACAGGAAGACUGACGGGCAAAGACACAGUUACAGACCUAUGAACAGAGCCACACGCCAAACAGGGACAAACCGUUGAGUUGGGAAGAUGUGGCAAAACAGGACUUAUAUUCCUUAUGGCAACGAUGGGCUGAGCUGAGUGUCUGCAGCCUGCUUUAGGCAGGGCACGGCUGUGCAGUCUGUCAUCGUCCCUCGUCACUCCCAUCAAUGCUGGCACCAACCUCACUUCUAUUUAUCGCCUCAUCUGAUCGGCUGUUUCUUAUAGCAGAAACGUCUGCAAGGCAUGUGAAUUUGUAACCAUCACCCUCCUCACAGGGUUGCUGUGAGGAUCCGGUGGACUGAUGCAUGCAAAGCCCCGAGCACAGUGCCUGGUACACGGCAAAAGCUGAAUACUUCUGGCCAGCCCUAGGAAUAUUUCCUUGGGAGCAGAGGGCUCUUCUGGAAGCUUCUGGAAGAUGAAUGGCAUCUUCGCACACCUGCUCCGAACAGGCAUUGUUUGGGACUCAGCGCCCUCUGGUGGCUGCUCUCCCCACUCACACUUAGCCUCUUCCUUGGUUGGGGGGACACUUUGAGGCCUCAUUCCUGCCCCUCCCCUUCCUUUCACAUGGAGGAAAGUUCUAGAAUGGGGUGGGAGAAAACUUUCCACUUGUUCUGCAUUUCCUUUACCUCCUUCCUGACCUUAGGUCUGGGCACAGGAGGAGGGGCUUGGAGGUGGAGGCUGGAGCUUCUGGGGGUCCUGGCUGCAUGACUCUAAGGAGGGUGGUGCCUUCGUCCCCACCCAACCCCCACCGCAUCGGCCCAUUCUCCUCCCGAAGCAUCCCUGGGCCACAGGUUCCCAAGGCCACCUCCAGACUGGGCCCGCGAGUGGGGCGGCCCUGGUAGCGUAUCCACAGAAGUUAUUAUGAGGUAAUUUUAUUUCUUUCCAUUUUAGGUAAAAAUAGUAAAUACAAGAUAAUCUUAAUAAAGGGAGGAGAAACUCCCAGGAGCCUGGAGAGAAUGGCUCGGCACAGCAGAUGCAGCCGUGGUGGCCAUGGAGCUGACCAGCCUCUUGGGAGUGAGCUGGCCACCUGAGCACGGUCCACUCAGCCCACACAAGCAGCAGCACCACCUCGCUGACAGGAGCUUCGUCAAUGCCUGCCGCCUCCUCCUUCCAUAACGAGGGACCACCUAGCAGGGACUUUCACUUUUAUUUCCACAGAGAACCUUGUGGUUAGAAGUCCAAUGGGUCUAGGCUGUGGGAAUCUUCUUAUUAACCACAAACAGAUGUCAAAAGGAUCUUUCCUAAUACUGUAGAUACUGCACUUGGCUCGUGUGGGAGUCCACUGUCUGUGGAAACAUUACUCGUCUAUUUUUCAGGUAUGGUCUAUACACAUAAAAGGCAGAGAUCUUAAAGGUACAGUUUGAUCCAUUUUGACAAAUGGAUACACCCCCUGUUUUUAUCAGAUGCUUCACUGAGCCCCCGUUUCAUGGUGUAAUUUAAGUGCCAUGACACCUGGAUACCCCCACCUUCUAUGAUCAGUGAUAUUCACAUGAAUCAGUUACAUACUGCUUGAGGCUGGCUGGCCUGACACUUGGCCAUUGUUUGAGACCUACAAGUAGGUAGGUGGGCUGUUGUCUGCCCCUAAACCAUGUCAGCUCAGGGGCAGUUCAGUUAUGGCUGAGCUUCGAGCUGCAUGCUGGGUGCCCCAGGAUGAAGCAGAGGGUCACCCAAUGACCAGGCUCUUUCUGUAGUUCCCUGUGGCCCAAGCUAGGAGAACAGAAACUUCAAUCAUGGAUGAGGCUGUUUCUAGGUGGCAAAUAUUUGUCAUAAGUAUCUCAUUAAUUACCUGGCAUAAAGUAAUUUGCUUUUCAUCUAAGAGUAACUGCUUAAAAUAGACUGGAAAACAACCCAAACAGUGAAAAUAAUAUAGUUGGUAAACUUCAGUGUAUAUCAGAGACCCUUGGUGCAGUUUUCCAAAAGCAGAUCCCCAGACCCCACUCCAGAGAUGCUGAUUCAUUAGGUCUGGGUGGGGUCUGGGAUCUGUAGUUUUAACAGCUAGUUCUGAGGUGGGGAACACUUUGAGAAACACGGCUGUCAGUUAGAUGCUGAGAACCUCCCACUGAGACUGGACAGGGCCAGUUAGAAGCAAGCGGCGGCAGACCCUAAACGCAGUGUGCAUCUGCUCAGUGGAUGUGCACCAUGGAAUGAAGUACAGCAUUGGAAUUCUGAACCAUCCUGCACUCAAGAGGCAUGAGGUUGGCUCAAGGCUGCCAUUGCUGUGGGAGGCAGAGGAAUGUCCCCUACUCCCAAGAUGUCCCCGUCCUGAUCCCUGAUGUUCUGCCUGUGGGAAACAUGACUGUUUCUCCUCAAAGGGGAACUGAGGUGGCAAAUAGAAUUCAGGUUGCUGAUCAGCUGCCCUUAACAGAAGGAGAUUAUUCUGGAUUGUCCUGGUGGAACCAAUUCAAUCACAUGAGUCCUUAAAAGUGGAGGAGGGGCCGGGCGCAGUGGCUCAUGCCUGUAAUCCCAACACUUUGGGAGGCUGAGAUGGGCGGAUCACAAGGUCAGGAGUUCGAGACCAGCCUGACCAACAUGGUAAAACCCCAUCUCUACUAAAAAAAUACAAAAAUUAGCUGGGCGUGGUGGCACACACCUGUGAUCCCAGCUACUCAGGAGGCUGAGGCAGGAGAAUCACUUGAACCCAGGAGGCAGAGGUUGCAGUGGGCCGAGAUUGUGCCGUUGCACUCCAGCCUGGGCAACAGAGUGAGACUCCAUCUCAAAAAAAAAAAAAAAAAUGGUGGAGGAGGAAGGCAGAAGAGUGGGGUCAGAGAUGGGACAAUGGAAGAUGAGGCAGGGCAAAUGGAGUGUGAGGGUGCCUGAUGCCUGCUGCCAGCUCUGAGGUGGUGGGGCUGUAUGCACAGACCAAGUGCUGGAGCUCAGGGCAGCCCAGCUGUGGCCAGCAAGGCAACAGGGACAGGCCUGCAGCCCCGUGGAAAUGCACUCUGCCGACAACUGAAUGAGCAAGGAGACUGAGCCUCCCUGGAGCCUCUGGAAAGGAGCACAGUGCCCUGACAACACUGUGGCCGUAGCCCAGUGAGACCCACAGAACCUGUGUUGUUUUAAAUCACCACGUGGGUGGAAAUCCAGUCAUUUACCUUCAUUGACUUCGUCAUUUUCUCUGUCCACCUGGGCUUUCAGGACGUAUCUUUUUAUGAGCCGUUUCAUGAUUUUCUGAAAUGCCAAGCAAGGAAGGGAUCAGACAGGGCUGGCCUAAUGCAGAGGCAGCCUGCGUGGUGUAGCAGGACCCCUCCCUCCCUUGAAGAGCCUCAGCAACCAUGGCGACCCUCCCAUGCCUGGCGCCUCACUCUGGAGGGGUGCCCUGCACAGUGCGGGUACCUGGCCAGCCUCUGUUUCGCCUCCCCCGCAGGAUGCAAUGUGCAACUGAACCUGGGAUGUAACAGGAAUACUUCUUAAUGGCAGGAAGCUGAGCCAAGCAGAGAGAGAGACAGAGAGAAAGGGUGGAGUGGGCAGUGGCACAAAUCUCUGCUCCAGGGGCCUUGGCCUGGCUCUGCCCUGCUCAGUCAAGUCAUCUUUCCUGGACCUCAGUUCUGUUUUAAGGAUGGAGGGCUGGGGAAGACUUAGCAGGCCUGCCUGGGUGGAGCUGCCUCCCUCAGAGGUCACAGUGAGCAGUGUGCCCUUCAUGAAGAGAUCCGCUGGGUACAGAAGUCAGGAUCAGGCUUGGAGGACAAGUCCACUGUACCUUGGAAAAUUCCUACCAGAAGCAGAAGCAGACACAGCCGGGCCUCUGGGGUUUUACAGAGAUACCACUUCCCACAGGCCUGACACUGUACUGCCGGAGUCACACUGGAGCAGGAUUUGGCCCUCAAGUUCCAUUUAUUAUGAAGAUACUGAAUUCGUUAAGCAGGCGAGGCAUGAAUAAACACUUAAGAGACACCAAGAAUAGAGCCAAGUGUAGGAAAGACUGCAGGAGGUGAACUUUGGAUUUUGCCAGCUAGUUGGUCCAGGGUUCCUGCGAAAUCACAGGAUUUAAAAAUACUCGGGUAGCCGAGACUUCUGAAUCUUCCAAGAGAUGAGCAGUGUGGAAGAGAGGAAGGGAUUUCCCUGCUCCUUGGUCCUCCCUUCUUGUGGCCUUCUGACCUGCUCACACCUGAGGACCAAGAGGACAGAGGCAGCAUUUUCCAGUUUGAAGAGACCUGUAGGGACCUGAUUCUGUUCCUAGCUUUGCUACAUAGGCUGAGGAAAAGCAUCUUGCAAAUAAAAAGUAAGUGAACUGGAUGCAAAGAGCUGCAGGAUUUACUCAUUAUCAUCAAUUAUGGUUCUUUCCAUCCCUUUAACCAUGAAGAGCUUGCCACAGAGAUGCUUCCUGGCCUGUGAUUCUAAGACUUCACCUGAACCCGAAAGGCUCUCUAGGAUAACACUGGGUUUAGCUCAUUCAGGCCAGCACUGCCCCUCCUCAGCCCUCGGGCUCAUGGGCCAACUGGCUGUGUGGUUUGAGUUGUGAUCUAAUUUCAGGCUGAAGAGUUAAUUGGCAGUUGCCUUCCUGCUGCUCCUUCUCAGAGAAGCCUGGGUCUUAUCCUACUAGCGGUUAAACUGCAGCGCUGAAUUUCUCAUGGACAUAGUCUAGUCAAUAAAGUAAGUUAUCUAAGUUAUAAAAAAUAUAUCCCUUUCAAGCUAGGUGCAGUGGCUCAUGCCCAUAAUCUCAGCACUUUGGGAGGCCAAGGUGGGUGGAUAACCUGAGGUCAGGAGUUCAAGACCAGCCUGGCUAAAAUGGCGAAACCCUGUCUCUGCUAAAAAUACAAAAAUUAGCUGGGCAUGGUGGUGUGUGCCUGUAAUCCCAGCUACUCGUGAGGCUGAGGCAGAGAGCAUUGCUUGAACCUGGGAGGCAGAGGUUGCAGUCAGCCAAGAUCAUGCCACUGCACUCCAGCCUGGGCAACAGAGCAAGACUCUAAUUCAAAAAAAAAA